rnacentral:rRNA from 2 species
AAAACGACUCUCGGCAACGGAUAUCUCGGCUCUCGCAUCGAUGAAGAACGUAGCAAAAUGCGAUACCUGGUGUGAAUUGCAGAAUCCCGCGAACCAUCGAGUUUUUGAACGCAAGUUGCGCCCGAGGCCUUUUGGCUAAGGGCACGCCUGCCUGGGCGUCACGC